UACGGGGGGAGCAAGCGUUGUUCGGAUUUACUGGGCGUAAAGGGCGGUCGAGUGCGCGCACUGAAGUCGGUUGUGAAAUCUCCGGGCUUAACCCGGAAAGGUCAAUCGAUACUGCAGGGCUAGAGUGCGGAAGGGGCAACUGGAAUUCUCGGUGUAGCGGUGAAAUGCGUGGAUAUCGAGAGGAACACCUGCGGCGAAGGCGGGUUGCUGGGCCGACACUGACGCUGACAGCGCGAAAGCUAGGGGAGCGAACGGG
rnacentral:rRNA from 1 species